UACGGAGGGUGCGAGCGUUGUCCGGAAUCACUGGGCGUAAAGCGCGCGUAGGCGGCCCGGUAAGUCCGUUGUAAAAGUCGAAGGCUCAACCUUCGAAAGCCGAUGGAUACUGCCGGGCUAGAGUACGGAAGAGGCGAGUAGAAUUCCUGGUGUAGCGGUGAAAUGCGCAGAUAUCAGGAGGAACACCGGUGGCGAAGGCGGGUCUCUGGGCCGAUACUGACGCUGAGGAGCGAAAGCGUGGGGAGCGAACAGG
rnacentral:rRNA from 1 species